GCGGUUGGGAGAAAGGCGGUUUCCUCCGGCAAGCCUCCCCUGCCAGUGGCAUUUUGGGGGGUGAUAUCAGGUCCCCUGGCCCAGGCCUGGCAAGCCGAGGUACAAGCUCAGUCACCCGCAAGCAGGGGCCUCCAUGGGCCUUCCGGGGGAACAGGCCCCCCACGCCUGGCCUCGGACUGCAGCCUCUGGAACUGGGAGAGAGGACGUUCCAGCCCCUGGCCACUCGCUGAGGCAGCCCCAGAACGCUGACGCAGCUCUUACGUGGGUCGUGGUCGGCUCCCCUUCCGGGCACCACAUGUGCCUUGAUGAAGACUUAGAACCUACUGCAGGGGGAAGAAGGAGAGAAUGGAAGCUUCCGGAAUCCUCCCACCCUGGGCACCAUAGCCAGCCUUGGAUGCCCACUCUUGAGCAGGUUUGCUAAGUGUGUGUCCACACAGCUUUGGGUACUUCCAGGGGGCUCCCCCUGCCCGGAGGCCCUGGGGUCUGAUCACGGUGGGGUCAGGUGGGCCCAGCUCCCUCACGGCUGGGCCCAGGACAGUGCAGGGUGGGGGGCCAGGAGCCCUGUAGGCACUCCCCACAGCCGAGGACGCUGUGUCCCCAGCCUAGGCCCCCCGUGGAGGACAGAGCCCCCUUCAAGGCCAGCCUGGCCUGGAUGACACAACAAGUGAUUCAAACAGCCGGCAAGGACGGUGUGGUCACUGGCACCUUUGGGAACGGCUUCAGCUCUCUCAUCCUGGCUCUGCCUCCCAGUCAAACACCGGAGGUGCCCUGAAGCCUCCGAGGGGUGGCUGCUAACAGUCCCCCAGAGGGUGAGGGAGGGGCUCCCGGCCAGGUGGGCCCAGGGGGCCUCCAGGUGUCUGAGGGGCACGUGGGUCAGCUCAGGGCCACAAGGACUCGGGACAGCCGUCCAGCCCAGCCCCUCAGUGGCCAGAGGAGGGACCUCAGCCCUCAGUGGCCACAGCCCUCGGAGACCACAGUCCAUAGUGUCCACGGCCCACAUUGCCCCCAGCAGCUGUCCCUCCCUCUGCCCUACCUGGUCCUAGAGCCUCCAGAGAGAAGCCAUCACCAGUCACCUGCACCUGGGGAUGCGGGAGCGUCGGGAGGUGGUGCUCAGUGCAGGGACAGUGGCUGGACAGCCACGCAGCAAGGACGAUGUGACACGGCCGUGGAUGCAGAGGGUCCUCAGGAAACGGGCAGAUGGGGGUGGGCAGUGGGGGCUGGAGAC